UACGGAGGGUGCAAGCGUUAUCCGGAUUCACUGGGGUUAAAGGGUGCGUAGGCGGGUUGGUAAGUCCGUGGUGAAAUCUCCGAGCUUAACUCGGAAACUGCCGUGGAUACUAUCAAUCUUGAAUAUCGUGGAGGUAAGCGGAAUAUGUCAUGUAGCGGUGAAAUGCUUAGAUAUGACAUAGAACACCAAUUGCGUAGGCAGCUUACUACACGAUCAUUGACGCUGAGGCACGAAAGCGUGGGGAGCAAACAGG
rnacentral:rRNA from 1 species